GAUGAACGCUGGCGGCGUGCCUAAUACAUGCCAGUCGAGCGAACAGACGAGGAGCUUGCUCCUCUGACGUUAGCGGCGGACGGGUGAGUAACACGUGGAUAACCUACCUAUAAGACUGGGAUAACUUCGGGAAACCGGAGCUAAUACCGGAUAAUAUAUUGAACCGCAUGGUUCAAUAGUGAAAGACGGUUUUGCUGUCACUUAUAGAUGGAUCCGCGCCGCAUUAGCUAGUUGGUAAGGUAACGGCUUACCAAGGCGACGAUGCGUAGCCGACCUGAGAGGGUGAUCGGCCACACUGGAACUGAGACACGGUCCAGACUCCUACGGGAGGCAGCAGUAGGAAAUCUUCCGCAAUGGGCGAAAGCCUGACGGAGCAACGCCGCGUGAGUGAUGAAGGUCUUCGGAUCGUAAAACUCUGUUAUUAGGGAAGAACAAAUGUGUAAGUAACUAUGCACGUCUUGACGGUACCUAAUCAGAAAGCCACGGCUAACUACGU
rnacentral:rRNA from 1 species